rnacentral:rRNA from 1 species
GUGAGGAAUAUUGGGCAAUGGGCGCAAGCCUGAUCCAGCCAUGCCGCGUGCAGGAAGACGCAUCUAUGGUGUGUAAACUGCUUUUGUACGGGAAGAAACACUCCCUCGUGAGGGAGCUUGACGGUACCGUAAGAAUAAGGAUCGGCUAACUCCGUGCCAGCAGCCGCGGUAAUACGGAGGAUCCAAGCGUUAUCCGGAAUCAUUGGGUUUAAAGGGUCCGUAGGCGGUUUAAUAAGUCAGUGGUGAAAGCCCAUCGCUCAACGAUGGAACGGCCAUUGAUACUGUUAGACUUGAAUUACAAGGAAGUAACUAGAAUAUGUAGUGUAGCGGUGAAAUGCUUAGAUAUUACAUGGAAUACCAAUUGCGAAGGCAGGUUACUACUUGUGGAUUGACGCUGAUGGACGAAAGCGUGGGGAGCGAACAGGAUUAGAAACCCCGGUAGUCC